rnacentral:piRNA from 1 species
GACCCAGAUAUAGCUGUCUCUUGUGAGACUAUGCCGGGGC